UAGGGACGGGCGGGGGUAGUACGCAAUCCGCGUCCGGCUCGAAGCGGGCUGACGGUAGUCAGCUCUCAAUGAGAAGGGAAGAUACGGGCUUUUACUUGUACAUGCACGGUAAUCUCCGCUAGGGUUUUCGUUUCCCGCAAAUUCUUGUCAGUUCAGAAGCUUCAAAUCUCUCUCUCUCUCUCUCUCUCUCUCUCUCUCUCAUUUGAAAAUGGGGAAAAAAGGGAAAACCGACGGAAAGAUCGACUGCGAGGGCGAAGAAGGAGAGCCGUUGGAAUCCGUGAUUGUCCUGAGCAGUGGCGACGAUGAAGAGGCGAACGAGGAUCUGACCCUCGAGAUCGUCGAGAGAGCGAGGGAACGCGAAUCAAAGAGACAAAAGGGGGAGGAUUUGGGUGAAACCGAGAAAAAGAGCUUCCGGUCUGAUGCAGUUAUCGUCCUGUCAUCUUCGUCAUCUGACGAAAUCGAAUUCAUCGAGGAUGGGGACAGCGGAGAUGCUGAGGCACUGCUGGAGGAAGUGAAGAAGAAGAAGAAGAAGAAGAGAUCGAAGAAGAAUAAGAAGAAAAAGAAGAUUGAGGUUGAUUUUGAAAAGUUAGAUGAACCUUCUGAAACUGUGACAUCUGUGGAAACGGAAGUUUGGAUGCUGGACAAUGUCAUGAAGGCUGAAGACCACUCGGCAACAGGUGAAGCUGCACACAUGGGAGCAAUUGGGACUUCAGACAGUGUCACGAGGGCAGAUGAACAUUUAGAGACAGUUGAGACCACGGACAAGGAGGCAAAUGGAAUAUCAGACAAUGCCGUGCUGCGGAAGCUUCUUCGUGGGCCUAGGUAUUUCGAUCCACCAGACAGCCAUUGGGGAACAUGCUAUAAUUGUGGCAAGGAAGGCCAUACAGUGGUUAAUUGUACAGUGGAGAAGCGGAAAAAACCAUGCUUUGUUUGUGGGAAGUUUGGGCAUGGCGCCAAGCAUUGCACACAGGGGCAAGAUUGUUUCAUCUGCAAGAGAAGAGGCCACGUUGCAAAAGAUUGCCCUGAGAAACAUCAAGGUAGUUCUCAGAAUUAUAAAAUCUGUCUAAGGUGUGGAGAUCCAGGGCAUGAUAUGUCAUCAUGUAGAAAUGAUUAUGCUCCUGAUGAUCUGAAGGCGAUUCAGUGUUACAUAUGCAAGAAUUUUGGCCAUCUCUGUUGUGUGGAUAUUGUAGAUACUGGUCCAAGAGAGGUUUCUUGUUUCAACUGUGGCCAGUCAGGCCAUACUGGUUUAGGGUGUGCGAAGCCGCGUGGGGAGAAAAGUGCUGCAGUUUCACCUACUUUAUGCUACAAAUGUGGAGAAGAAGGGCAUUUUGCACGAGGUUGCACAAAGUCUUCUAAGUCUGCUCAAUGGAUGGGUGAACCUUCGACCCCGGCUCAGAGAUUUUCGAAGGAAGGUAGAGACAUCUUGGAAUUUAGAUCAGUACCUCAUGAUCAUGGUAAAGCCUAUAAAAAGAAAAUGAUGUUGUGUGAAGGAAGAAAAAACAUGACCACUGGGAAAUCCAGGUGGAGGGGUGGUUGGGCUACCGAUGAUCCAAGAGACUCACCUGGUAGGCAAACUAAAUUGAAUGGUCGGAUUUCUUUAGCAGCAGGCGACCAUUCUUCUAGUUCUCGAUCUCCUUUUAGGAGGAAGCACAAUAUUCCCCCAGGAACUCCAGGUUCACAUGGUUCGACGAAGCGUUCCCAGAAUGGCUUUUCAGCUUCAAGAUUUGGUGUCGAAAAUCGUUUUUGAAGAGCUUAGGAUAAGCAUGGAGAGGACUGCCUUUCCGUUGAGAUAAUUGCUAUUGAAAGGCAAUGAUUGGGAUUGAAUUGCAUCAUCAAGUGUGAAAUCAAGUCCUUCCAUGUUUGGAUACUCGUUCCGUUUUCCCAAAAGUUUGGCUGAUUCAGGGCAUCGAAUCCAUUGUUAACCUUCUAGUUUGAGCUGCUGAUUCAUGGGGCAGAUUCCAGCUAAACAGGUGAAAGCUUACCAACAUCCUUCACUGAUGUCAUUUCCCUACUUCUGUGGAACUAGAGCUUUAUUUAGCUUUCAGGUGAUUGCUUCUUUGAGCUUUUGCCAGAAGCUGUGUUUUUUCCUUGCUAUGUGUGCUUAGAAGGAAAGAAAGAUCUCUUUCUUUGCUUUCGGAGCAGAAUUGUUUUGUACACAUCAAAAUAUUAGGAGGGCCACCUCUAAAAUACAUCCGUGGCCCUCUUUUGCUCUUAUAUUGGAUGAUUGACAUCGUUGCAGGUUUACAAUUGUGGUAGGCAUUUCAUCAUCGAA